rnacentral:rRNA from 1 species
GAUGAACGCUAGCGGCAGGCCUAACACAUGCAAGUCGAGGGGCAGCACAGGAAAGUAGUAAUACUUUUGGGUGGCGACCGGCGGACGGGUGCGUAACGCGUAUACAACCUGCCUUCUACUGGGGGAUAAUUCGGAGAAAUCUGGUCUAAUACCCCAUAACAACCGAUGAGGCAUCUCAUUGGUUUAAAAGCUCCGGCGGUAGAAGAUGGGUAUGCGUGACAUUAGAUAGUUGGUGGGGUAACGGCUCACCAAGUCGACGAUGUCUAGGGGGACUGAGAGGUUAACCCCCCACACUGGUACUGAGACACGGACCAGACUCCUACGGGAGGCAGCAGUGAGGAAUAUUGGUCAAUGGACGCAAGUCUGAACCAGCCAUGCCGCGUGCAGGAAGACGGCUCUAUGAGUUGUAAACUGCUUUUGCACGAGGGUAAACCCAGGGACGUGUCCUUGGCUGAAAGUACCGUACGAAUAAGGAUCGGCUAACUCCGUGCCAGCCGCCGCAGUAA